AGAGUUUGAUCAUGGCUCAGGAUGAACGCUAGCUACAGGCUUAACACAUGCAAGUCGAGGGGAAACGAUAUUGGAAGCUUGCUUCCGAUAGGCGUCGACCGGCGCACGGGUGAGUAACGCGUAUCCAACCUGCCCACCACUUGGGGAUAACCUUGCGAAAGUAAGACUAAUACCCAAUGAUAUCUCUAGAAGACAUCUGAAAGAGAUUAAAGAUUUAUCGGUGAUGGAUGGGGAUGCGUCUGAUUAGCUUGUUGGCGGGGUAACGGGCCCACCCAAGGCAACGAUCAGUAGGGGUUCUGAGAGGAAGGUCCCCCACCAUUGGAACUGAGACACGGCCCAGACUCCUACGGGAGGCAGCA
rnacentral:rRNA from 1 species